rnacentral:rRNA from 1 species
GACGAACGCUGGCGGCGUGCUUAACACAUGCAAGUCGAACGGAAAGGCCCUGCUUUUGUGGGGUGCUCGAGUGGCGAACGGGUGAGUAACACGUGAGUAACCUGCCCUUGACUUUGGGAUAACUUCAGGAAACUGGGGCUAAUAACGGAUAGGAGCUCCUGCUGCAUGGUGGGGGUUGGAAAGUUUCGGCGGUUGGGGAUGGACUCGCGGCUUAUCAGCUUGUUGGUGGGGUAGUGGCUUACCAAGGCUUUGACGGGUAGCCGGCCUGAGAGGGUGACCGGCCACAUUGGGACUGAGAUACGGACCAGACUCCUACGGGAGGCAGCAGUGGGGAAUAUUGCGCAAUGGGCGGAAGCCUGAUGCAGCAACGCCGCGUGCGGGAUGACGGCCUUCGGGUUGUAAACCGCUUUCGCCUGUGACGAAGCGUGAGUGACGGUAAUGGGUAAAGAAGCACCGGCUAACUACGUG